CCGCAACGGCGUGCUGGUCCAGACCGGCCACAGGUUCCGGACGACGUUCGACUUCGGGUACGCGUCGCUGCAGAUCCUGGGCGUGUACCCGGAGGACGGCGGCGAGUACACGUGUCGCGCUGUCAACCGGGCCGGCCAGGCCACCUGCAAGAGCGCGCUCACCUGCCGAGCCAUCUCGUCGGGUGAUCAUGCUGACCCAGGUGCCGAAGGGCAUGAAGAAGUCGGACUACCUGAUGCAGAUGGAGGCGGCGCUGAAGCAGUACACCUCCGACAUCCAGCUGACUGAGGAUGACUAUCUACGACGCCGACC